rnacentral:sRNA from 2 species
AUGCACUACCCGCACACUCCGGUUCCCGGUGCGGUCCGCACCCGGCAGACGAUUGCCCGCGACGUCUUCUCGGCC